GCCAUGGCCAGUGAACCGGUCAUCCUCAACGUGUAUGAUAUGUACUGGAUAAAUGAGUACACCUCCAAUCUGGGAAUUGGAGUCUUUCACUCAGGCAUCGAGAUUUAUGGCCGAGAGUUUGCAUACGGGGGCCACCCGUAUCCUUUCAGCGGAAUCUUUGAAAUCAAUCCGGGAAAUGCAGCCGAGUUGGGAGAGACCUUCAAAUUCAAAGAGGCCAUCGUGUUGGGCACCACUGACUUCGCAGAGGAGGACAUGGACAAGAUCAUGGAAGAGCUCGGCAAGGAGUUCAAAGGCAACGCUUACCACCUCAUGCACAAGAACUGCAACCACUUCUCCUCCUCUCUCUCCGAGCUGCUGUGCGGCCGUGAGAUCCCGCGCUGGGUCAACCGUCUGGCCUACUUCAGCUCUUGCAUCCCCUUUCUGCAGAGCUGCCUGCCCAAAGAGUGGCUGACGCCGGCUGCCCUGCAGAGCCACAUAAGUCAGGGUCUCCAUAAGGACGAACGCCACCGCCGAUCCAGCGACGAUGACGACCGACCGUCGCCGCCCUCGUCAUCCGGGGCCGCUGGAUCUUCCUCUUCCUCCUCCUCGCACAGCUGCCGCCACACCAGAGUGUGAGAGACCAUGGGGAGCUGAGUAGGAAAGGGUGCGUUGGGGGCCAAGACUUGUCAGAGCCACUUUUUUUGUAAAAGACUGCUGAACAUGGUGCAACCAAAGUCAUCUUUGUGUGGCUUUUCCUGAAUACUCUUUCUUUGUAUGGUUAUCUGGUUGUUGAUGCUCCAAAAUUGACUGGGAAGCACCUGCCUUCUACUUUCAAUCAUUGAAAAGUCAACCUCUCAAGCCUUAGCAGCAUGAAAUUUGAAAGACCUGGAAAAAAAUGUGCACGGAGUUGAAUGCCGCCAUUUCAAUAGGAAGCAGCCAUUUUGACUCUGGAGCAGCCUUUUUCAUUUCAUUAGAAAAUUCAGCCCUAAAAAACAGUUUCACCGAAAAACAACGUAAGUAUAUAUUGUGGGAUUAACUAUACAUUAAACAGGAGUAAUCCAUCGAUCAAAUGAAAUCUUUCAAAGCGCAAAACAUCAACAAGUGGUUGUAACUGAUUGUGGUAAAUGUGUACAUAAUAUUGUAUUCUACAGAUCGAAGGCCCUUAAAGUGUAAUCAAAUCUUGACUGAGUUUAUAAUAAUAUCGGCAAAUAUUGUACCGUCUAAAGCAAGGUCCGGAUUUAGUGAACCCUGGUCUAAAGAAUAAAUAUCGUAUCAUGAAAUUGGGGAUUGACAACCCGAGUAAAGCCUUUUAUGGGUAGACCAAUUUUUUUAAAGUCUCAAUAAGCCAUGCCUGGGAAGACGAAGAAUUUUAUUUUGAAGAGCCCUUGAUAUUAUGGGGUUAAUCCCAUACAUCUAGUUUCCCUAAACAACAUGAAUUUUGGUCAACAUCUUUCUCAUGUGUAGACCCACUUACGGUACAGGUUGAAGACGCCAUGUCUAAAAACACAGCCAGUAUUCCAAAGUGAUUGGUAAACUCAAUUUUAGGGUUAUUUUUAAUCAUAUCACCACACCCUUCACGGAUUAACUGGUCUUUAAAAUUUUUGUACAAUUUGAUGGCACUAAAUUUCAAAUUGUGUAGGCGAAGCAUGGUGAUGGUGGUGAAAUUUUAUGACAAACAAUACGAGCCGUUUUCACUUCAAUUAAAGUUAACAUUACAGCUGUCUUAGCUUAUACUUAACGUUUGACUUCAAAGGCCUAAGUUACAUUAUAAAUGAUGGUAUAAUCUCUUAUAGGUAUUGUUCAAUGUCGUACACAUGCUUGGUUUCGUUGGAAUCUGCUUGCAUUAGCUGUUAGCUUAACAUUGAUGUAGCUACACAAUUCUCUUUCAAAGUAGAAGCUGCAACAAUGAUGGUAAACUCCUUUAAUGUCCUUAGACCAAACAUGCACUUGUUUUCACUUUUAUAACAUAGUUAGCUCAGCAUACACUUAGCAGGGUGUUUCACCAUGUCUUUUCAUGCUAAGCUAACUAGCUACUGCUUCUUUCUCUGCUACUUGUGGAAAGACUCGAUUGUUGUGGGGUAAACAUGUUUACAGGUUGCAAAGCAUUUAAAUGCAAAAAAAGGGAACAAUGUUUUAAUUUUGUAUAUGGUACAUUGAUUUUCCCCUAAGGGCCCUAUCCCUACUGCGGUGGUGGUGCAUUUGAGGACAGCUACUCUUUCUCAGGAAGGAACUCAUUUUUUGGUGUGAAUGGUUCUGACAUUUCACCAAGUGUAUUUAUUGUGUUACAGCUGAUGAUUAAACACACACAAGUUGUACAGAUGUUCAUAAAAUACAGUAGGUUACUUUCUUACAGAGUACACUAGACAGUUUUAUCCUCCUAGCAUCAUCCGAGACCUUGUAAUUGUCUUUUUUUAACCCAAGAUGUCUUAGUACUAGAAUAAAAAGACAUGUACUGGUGGUGUUUCUGAUAUAUUAGAUUGUCAAUUCAAAUGUGGAAAAGCUCACUUUCAACAUUUGGCAAAACAAAAUGAAGGCAUUCCUUCCAAUUUAGGUCAUUUGCUUGCAGUGUCUUACAAAGUUAAUAGCUAUGUCAUUCUACUGCUCUUCUAUAAAACUAAUGCAUAAUAAUAUUUGAUAAUAUUGUAAAAUAAUACAGGUGAUCAACGAUCAUCAAAAGAUAAGAGAUGGAAUUGCUGUAUUUUGUUUUGUUAAACUCUGCAAGUUUUGACUAAUCACAUUAAAAAGGGAAAUUUGUCACCAUAAAA